ACAGCUGGACUGGGAGAGGAGGAGGCACAAGUGCCCGCGCGGCACAGCUGGAUGGGUGUGGCCAGUGGCGCAAUGCAUUUGCUCCGCAGCUGGAUGGGGGGAGCGGUGCAUCUGCUACACAGCUGGAUGGGGGGCGUGGCGGCAGUGUCUUUGCUACACAGCUGGAUCGAGAGGAGGUGUGCCCUGGCAUCUGGCAAACAGCUGGAGGGGCUUCCUUUCCUCAUGCAGACGCAUCCUGAUCUGCCUCCUGGAUAUGCGGAGCCAUUUCCUCUGCUCAUUUUUCUUCAGCUCUUCCAGUAUUUACUUCAGCCAUUGGGACCAGACCAUGUGUGUUCGUGCCAUGUCUAUCUUUAGGCCAAAUUACCUCACACCUUUUACCCAGCAAUGGCCCACCUCUUCCACUGCUAUUUUUACCACCUUCUAAAUAAAGGUCCAGUCCAAAGCCCCUUAUAGUCAUGGAAAGAUUUUGCUCUUGUUUUGGAUCAGGUCCUAAAAUAUGAGGUUUAAAGGAAGUAGAAGUGGCCUGAAGGGUCCUGCUGCCUCCUGUCUGCCCUGGACUCUGCAGGUGGCAUGUCCCAAGAGCAGGUGGCACUGCCCUUCAUGGGGAGCAGGAGUGGACUAGGCUGGGUUGAUUCAGUGCCAUCUCUUGGCAGCCUCUGUUAGGCUUACUCCAUCCAAAAUCCCAAGGGAGGCCUGCAGCCUGCUUUGUUUUAAAUGAGCUCCCGUGGGGUACCGCAAGCCAGACAGCAGCAGGGAGGAUGGCUCUCUGCAUUGGCACAUGUCUAAUCUGGGGCAGCACGGGAACUAAUCUGGGAACUCAGACCCUUGGUGAUCCUUGGCAAGUAAACUUGGGUCUGUGUAUACCACAUACUCACCCGCUCCCACUUGCAUACCCCAGACCCAGAAGCUCUUCCAGGGUUGUCUCCUGCAGCUGCUCUCGGGACCUCAGUCUCCAGCAUGCUUGAGAGCAGCCACGGCAAACACACUUAGAGCAGCUUGCCUACAGCCUUGACAGGUUUUGGUGCAAAGGGAAGGGGCAUUCCUGACCUGCAAUGUGGACAGACAUGCAAUGCCUCAGCCUCCUCGGCAUUACUGUGAGGAUAUUGGCAGCCGUGUUGGUGUGAGACAAAAAGAAAUGCAAAACUCGACAACUCUUGGUUCAGAGAUGAUGCCUUCUAUUAGAGCAGCUAGGAAAUCAUCUUCCAUGUUGCAGGGAUGUAUUUGGUAGCCAUGAGGAUAAGCACAGUCUAGGGCAGUAGGUGCUUAGAUGAUGUAGCAAUGGGAAACCUCUGAGAGAAACAACUGAGUAGACACGCCAGCUUCUUGAAGGUGACUCUUGUCACCUUCCCCUGCCCCUUGCCCCUCUUUGUUCUAUUUGCUUCUGCCUGUGCUGUGCCCCUUUGGGGUGUGAGAUCCUCAGGGCAGAGCCUUUCCUUUGUUAUUGUUUGCAAUGGGUGAUGUGCACCUAAAACAUUAUGCCUUCCCCCUACCACAAACACUGUCCUUAUCUAUUUCCCCAGCUACGAUAUCGAGGCAGAUAGCAGACAGAAACGCACUAUGGAUGGGAUCCUAUUUCACCGUCACACCCCUCCCUUGCAUGUGUGAAGAGGUGUAACUGCAGUUUUCGGCCCAUAAGCACAGUUUGGGGUUCAAUGUAGCUACACUUGCCCCAUGCUUCUUUAUUGAGCAUGUUCAAUGGGCCGUCUUGUGAACCACAUAACUGCCCUGGGGGAGAUACAAUUGCCCAGUCGCAUCCAUAAGGGUAGGUAAGUCCUGGAUCUUUCGUUGAUGAAAGAAAUGGAGGGGGAGAGGACAACCCUUCCACCUUUUAAUCCAAUAGUUGGGAUCCUUGUCCAGGGAGCAGCAAAGGCCAGGUCUAGACCCCCUCGGUCAGAGGGAUUUGGACCUGCUCCAGCCACCAGACCGCAGGCUAGGUGUUACCCAGAGCACUCCCCAGCCAUCCUCUUGAAGUUGGCAAGGCUGGAUGACAUUUAUUGAUAGGACCAACCAGCGUGUGGACCCCACACCCUCUGAGCCCUCAUCGUGCUGGUUAUUUAGCCACUGAUGCCCAGAAACACGCUGGAUCUUUGCCUGACAACAUUUCAACUCAGCGCAGAGAAGUAGACCAUCGCUCCAAUUGAACAGUAUGGGUGACUCUCCCAAAAUAGGGGUGCAGGGACACAGCUUCCCACCAGCCCAGUGCUGGCAGCUACAGCCCGCUUGGGCUGCAGAAUGGGUCUAGGGUUGCCAGCCCUCCAGGAUGGCCCUGGAGUCUCCAGGAAUUUCAUAUAAAUCUCCAGGACACUGCUCAGAGUCAUACAGGAGAUAAAGAACAGGGCACUCAUUAAAAUAAAUAUUAAAUGUUGAGUUCGAUUUA